AAACUCGCGAGCAGGGCUGGAGCCGGGAGGGGACGGGGGAGGGCUGCUGGCGCUGUCGCGGUUCGUGUCACUGGAGCCCGCGAAAACAAGUUGGGGGCGCUGAGAGGCAGAGCGAGCAGCUUCCCUCCCUCCCUCCCUCGCUGGCGGCUUUUUGUGCCAAACGGGAAAAGGUCGGUUUGGCUGGCAGCAGCUCAAGUGUCCGAGGCGAUGGCCAUUUGCACAAUUAAGGCGGUUGAGAUAAAAGGUUGUUUUCUUCCCGCUCCCCACCCAUCUCUGCAGCCACCUGGAGUAGUUUGGGCUUACUCGGAUUGCCAAUUUUCCGCACUUUCUCGAUAGAGGCGUUGCGUCUACAAAAGUUGGAAGGUGGCGCGAAGUCGGCAGGUGCAGCCACAGUGAAUGCAGUACAGAAGAAGCCUGCUCUGUAAUCCAAGGAGAUUCGGGUGACAGAAGCCCACGCUAGCUGAAUGUUAGGAGACAAUUCCUAACACUAAGUGUCCUCGACUGAACAAUCAAUUAGCUAGAGAAGAGAGCCAGCACAUCUUGGGGAUAUACACUUUCACAGCCAAUUUAUAGAGCCAAGGUAAUCCAGUAAAUGAUACUUGAACAAGCUAAAUGUCUUAUCAGAUGUUUAAACAUUCAGUGACCCUGACUAGAACCAAAUAUAUGGGUAAGAUCAGAUUUAGAGUAUACUGAGUAAAGAUUCUUUCUUCACAAGGUACCAUUACUUGUGUUGCAGUUCAAAUGAAUGCCAGUUUUUAUGCAAUCAUUAUGAAUUGUUAACCAGUUUUAGUUAAUUUGGAAUCACAGUUUGGAGCCUGAAAACUCUGCUUCAUUUUAAUUGAUGCUAUAUUGUCUGAAAUGGAUUGAUAGGCACUUUUGUAGGAAUAAAAUAAUUAUAAUAUUACUUUAGAGUAUGACCAAAUCUAGUAUAAAUUUUCUUCAAGUUAAAUACGGUAUGCACAGGCUCUUAAUCUUAUAUUGUGUACUAGCUGGAUACCCGUGCUUCGCUAUGAAACUAUGUGAUCGGGCUUGAUAAAUCGACACUUAAAGCUUGAAAAUUAAUGAGUAGUUAUGAUCGGCCUCUCCUCUCUCCUUCUCUUCCUCAGCCUUGCCCCACAGAAACGUCUCCUAUUCCCUUCUCUCCCUCAAGCUUGCCCCACCGAACCCUAUCCUAUCCUAUCCCCCUUCUCUCCCUCAGCCUUGCCCAACAGAAACAUCUCCUAUCCUAUCCUUCUAAACAUCUCCUUCGAAACAUCUCCUAUCCAAGCUUUCUAAGGCUUGCCCCACAGAAGGCUCCCCUAUCUUAUUCCCUUGUCUCCCUCAGCCUUGCCCCACAGAAGCCUCCCCUAUCUUAUCCCCUUCUCUCCCUCAGCCUUGCCCCACAGAAGCCUCUCCUAUCCUAUCCCCUUCUCUCCCUCAGCCUUGCCCUACAGAAGCCUCUCCUAUCCUAUCCCCUUCUCUCCCUCAGCCUUGCCCCACAGAAGCCUCCCCUAUCCUAUACCCUGGUUGCUGCUGUGAAAGUAAAACUGAAACUGAAACUCCUCUCCUCUGCUUGUGUUUUGCAUUUGGAACAGAUUUCUUUUCAGGUGGCAAGGGGGAGUAGAACUCCUUAGCAUCAGAGCAUGUUAAUCAUAAUAUAGGAAAUACUAAUGCUCUGAUGGUCAUUUCAAAAAAUCUUUUCUUAGUGAGCACCUAGAAGCCAAGAGGAACAUACAUGGCAAAUUUCAAGUUUGUAGGCUUUAUGGUUCUGGAGAUUUCAUGAUUACCAUGUGAAUGGUUUUUGCUUUUAUAUAUAUAGAUUACGCUGUUUACCACAUAUAUGCUUUUUUCAGGAAUUCAAGAUGGUUCUUUCUUCUCUAAUUUUAUUUACACAAUAUUUUGGGAUAGAUUAUAUAGAAUAACUGGUCAAAGGUGAAAUUCAUAGUUGAGUGAUACUUUGAAUGCAGAUAUCCCCUCUUUAUCAUUGGUGAUUAAAUUGAAAUAUCUUUUUUCACUUUCUUCAGCUUCCAUAAAUCUAUAUACUAAUAAAUCACAUAUCUAUAACCUGGGCAAAACAAUGCACCACAUGACAGUGUUUUCAAUCAAGGUUCCUCAAAUGGACUACCUGACAGAAUGCUGUGAUUCCUGUGGAAAAUGAAAUUUUGGAAAGUUCUUGCCAUUUCAGUGCUACAACUGCCCUGCUAUGAUCACGUGAUCCUCAUUUACAACAUACUCUGACAUCUUUCCACAAACUAAACUUCCCAAACUAUCCUUGGGAAGAAUCUGAUAGUCAAGAAUACAAAAUCUAGUCAAAAAUAUCUGACAGACAGUGGGUAAACAAUAAUAACAACAAAGUAGUCAGAUGUUAAGUAACAUAUUCAUUGUUUCUUUUUUACUAAGGAAAUAAUGAGUUAAUGUAUAUAUCUUUACUUCCUUUGAUAAAUGCUGUUUGAUUAAUGUUUGAGAGUUUGGAAAAUAUAUUUUGCUUGAACAUUAUUUAUUUUGUAUGCAUAUGUUUGAUUAGCUAGGAGGACAGUAUGAAAUAUUAACAUGACGUUAUUUAAUUGCCAGUAAUAUAAAUAUUGGCCCUAGAAUUUAAGUACUGUGUUUGUUUUUACCUUAUUAGAAGCAGGAUAAGAUUGGAUUUGAAUUAUUUAUUUUGUGCUGCAUGCCAAAUAUCUGUACUUUAAACCAGGCCCUUCAAGUUAUUUGAGAAUUUCAUUUAUGUAAGAUCUCUCAACACAUUCCCUAUAUGAAAUCACAAUUACUACUCCAAAAUAGGAUAUUGAGCUAGAUCCAAAUUUAGAUAUGUGCACAGAGCUUUAGGAAAUAAACUAGCCCAUUCCUCCCUUCCUCUCCAUGGCAGCUCUGGGAAUAUGCUGUAUGAAUGUAUAGGGACACUGAUUUGUGGACUAAGAAUUCAACAGAGGAACUUAAAUGUGACCAUUCUUGUAUAUUUUGAAUUUUUAUGCUUGCUUAAUACUACCCAAAAACAUUGACUCAGACUUUCCAUUAUGUUUGUAGUUUUGUUUUGGAUAAGAUGGACUUGCUAGAAAAAGCUUUGGGAAUUAUUUUCGUUCCUAUGGUCUCUCUACUCCUGUAUAUAAUUAAGGAGACAUGUGUACCUUCUUCUCAUUAAAUUGAUGGGAACAGGAAGAGUAGAUAUUUUUGUUAUACACCUCUUAUUAAGAGUCACACUUUGCCAAUAAACUUAUGAACCUUUAAAGUGUCUGAUCUACAGCCCUGUUGUGGAAAAGAAUCCAACUGUGAAGCAUGAACAGUAUCCAAGCUGGGAAAGAAUUUUAUGGUAUCAUUUGACUACUGUUGCAAUACACAACUAUUUCUUUUGUCUUUAGCAAGCUGUCCUUUUUUAAGGGAAAAAUAACUUUUCAGGAUAAGGAAACUGUUAAAUACAUCACGAAAAAAAUAAUUGUGCUGAGGCUCUGAAAUUAGGAAUUAAAAACCAGAGUAAUUAUAGUCGAGAUAAUAUAGGUUGAAUGGACAUUCACAGAAACAGAAAGAAUCUUGGAUUGCUUUUAUGUGUGUGUGUGUAUGUUUGUGUUUGAGUGAGUGAGAAUGAGAUAGAGAAAGAUCAAUGUGCAAAUAGGCUGCAAAAACAAAAAGAAAAGCCAAGAAAAGAGACCAGUGUUUAAAUUUAAGGCAGUUACAGGUUUUCUAAAAGAUACCAUAUGUCCUGAAUGAUGAAAAUAAACUUGGAGUCAACUUCAUUGUUUACAUAAUUAUUUAACAGUGUUCUAGAUCAGGCCCACACAGAAUUGAAUCAAUUCAUCACACACAACUAUUGGCUCUAAGACUAAAGAGCAACACUUAUUAGAUAUCAACAAGCAACUCAGAAAUUAAUGUUCUGUUUUUCUUUUUUAAGGGUAUAUUCAUCCAAGAAUUGUGUGACAGUUCAAAAGCAAAUCCAAAUGUCUGUGAUCCAUGAUACUGGCUGUGUUUAAGAACGGGUCAAAUUUAUUUCUUGUUCAGCUGUGGAAUACUUGAGCUUCAAAUAAAACUAGAAAUAAGAGCCCCAUUCCUCCAUUCAGAGGAUCUCAUAACUCAAUAUGCUUCCUGGCCCCUUGUCUUUCAGUAUAGCUUCAGGAUUUCCAAUUGUCCCUCUUAGGAACUGCUAGAAUUCUUUUGUAUAUGAUCACACAAAUGCACACAAAGGAAUAUGCAUGUGGAACAUUUAUGAGUAAAAUUAUUUCCCUUUUUUUGCAUGGAUUGGGAUUGAGAAGAUUCCUGUUUCUGAAGGACCUGCAGCAGCCCCGGAUAGAAAAGGGUGUUUUCUACUUGUUCUGUGUUUCUGCAGUAUCAUGAAUGAAGACAAUCAUGGAUCAUCUUCAAACUGUUUUUCAGGAAAUAAAGAAUGGGAAUUGUGACAGUGUGGAAAUACCUAUUGAUUUUAACUCCAUGCUCCCUAUUUUCUCCAAUAACUACAUUUCCCAUGAUUCUCAUCCAAAUGUAUGCUGUUCCCUAAUAUCUUCCCUAAUAUCUUCAUCUUUCUCAAGAUUACUUCACUUCCAUCCUCUCUUUAAUUUAUUUUAUCCAAGUCCUCAGACAACAUUUGAACUCUUGGAGCCUCUGGACCAAUGCAACAUUUUGAUAGUUGCUGAAAAUCAGCAUUCUGAGAUUAGUGUCCUACAAAACACAUGAAAAUAAUUGAAGAUAUAAUCUUAUAUUUACAAUUCAGACCUAAAUAAAACCAAGUUCCCAAACCUGGAACCUCUUCCUCCAAAAUCUGAGCCCUGGUCACAUAUAUAACAUAGCCCUGCCCCUUAUGUAUGAUGCACCAUCAAUUGAAGCUUUUACCUUUCCUUAUGCUGCUUAGCACUUGGCAACCAAAAGUUUGCCUGCUUUUGACACAGAGUCUCUACAUUUAAUAUAUUGACUCACAUAUUAAGUGAUAGAAAAAUAAAUCAAACUGGUUUUCACUCUGUAUAGUGGGAAACAAGGAAAUUAUUUCCCUUUUUUAUUUGCUCAAAUUUACAAAAUUACCUUAUUUUUAAAACUGUGAAACCUGUCUGAUAUAAUUCUUUCAUCUUCAUAGUAGUCCAUAUUGGUCUGUUCUCAUAAUUUGACAAUUUUGAAAUAUUUAUAUAAUUUUCUCAAAUUAGGGAUCAGAAAUACCUGUCUUCACAAAAUAGAUACAUCAGAUGUAAAGUAAGCUCCCUUUAAUGUAGAAGCUCCUCCCUCCACCCAUUUAAAUGAUAUGGCACUAUCUCCUUCACAUAAUUUUAAGACUUUCCCUUCAAAAAUGUUUUAGUGAGUAAUGAGUUACCAAAAGAUAGCCUACCUGGUUGAGGAAAAUGAAAUUCUAUCAUGUUAAAAAGUUUCACUAUCAAUGAAUUUCACAACCUGAGAAUGUGAACCUGUUAUCCAGAAAACUGAUACAUUUGACUAUACACUUUAUUUAAUGAUUUUAUAUAACAUAGUACCAACUCUGAUAUCAGAAUUAGGUUCUUAAACAAAGUGAGUGAUUCAUUGAGCUAUUCAAUGAGUCAUUCUAUUUCCUGAUCAAGCAAGAUUAUCACUUCAAGCUGGUAUGACUAUUUGGGGGAAUGCCAAAUAAUAAGGUCGGUGAUACUGUAAGAAUUUGGCCUUUGCUUUAAGAUACCCUUCUCUGAUUUGUAAAAAAUAUUGAAAACAAUAUGUCUUAUAAAGUUCUAGAAAUAAAAGGAAUUAAGAAACUG